rnacentral:rRNA from 1 species
AGUGAACGCUGGCGGUAGGCCUAACACAUGCAAGUCGAGCGGCAGCACAGUAAGAGCUUGCUCUUACGGGUGGCGAGUGGCGGACGGGUGAGGCAUACAUCGGAAUCUACUUUUUCGUGGGGGAUAACGUAGGGAAACUUACGCUAAUACCGCAUACAACCUACGGGUGAAAGCAGGGGAUCUUCGGACCUUGCGCGAUUGAAUGAGCCGAUGUCGGAUUAGCUAGUUGGCGGGGUAAAGGCCCACCAAGGCGACGAUCCGUAGCUGGUCUGAGAGGAUGAUCAGCCACACUGGAACUGAGACACGGUCCAGACUCCUACGGGAGGCAGCAGUGGGGAAUAUUGGACAAUGGGCGCAAGCCUGACCCAGCCAUACCGCGUGGGUGAAGAAGGCCUUCGGGUUGUAAAGCCCUUUUGUUGGGAAAGAAAAGCAGCAGGUUAAUACCCCGCUGUUCUGACGGUACCCAAAGAAUAAGCACCGGCUAACUUCGUG